UACGGGGGGGGCAAGCGUUGUUCGGAAUUACUGGGCGUAAAGGGCUCGUAGGCGGCCAACUAAGUCACACGUGAAAUCCCCAGGCUUAACCUGGGAACUGCGUGUGAUACUGGAUGGCUUGAAUCCGGGAGAGGGAUGCGGAAUUCCAGGUGUAGCGGUGAAAUGCGUAGAUAUCUGGAGGAACACCGGUGGCGAAAGGCGGCGAUCCUGGACCGGUAU
rnacentral:rRNA from 1 species